AUCUGAGGAAAGUUAUGGUCACAUACUGCUUUAGGAUUCUUGGAUACUAAACACGAGGGUUGGUUGUUGGACAGAUCCCAGAACUUUACCAUUUUAUCUGUUGAUCCAGUAGCAAGAAGCUGUCAAACAUGGUAAGGAAAGUUUAGUGAAGUUGAUAAUCUAAACAUCUAACUAGACCUAAGGAUUAAAAUA